rnacentral:misc_RNA from 1 species
GAUGAAGAACGUAGCGAAAUGCGAUACGUAAUGUGAAUUGCAGAAUUCAGUGAAUCAUCGAAUCUUUGAACGCAUAUUGCGCUCUUUGGUAUUCCGAAGAGCAUGCUUGUUUGAGUAUCAGUAAACACCUCAACCUCUUCUUGAUUUUUCAAAAGGAGGGUGGACUUGAGCUAUCCCAACAACCUUUACCGGUCGGCGGGCGGCUUGAAAUGCAGGUGCAGCUGGACUUUUAUCUGAGCUAAAAGCAUAUCUAUUUAGUCCUCGUCAAACAGGAUUAUUACUUUUGCUGCAGCUAACAUAAAGGAUAAUUGUCCUCUUUGCUGACUGAUGCAGGAUUUUACGACACUUUAUGUGUUGUUCAACGCGAUCUCAAAUCAAGUAAGACUACCCGCUGAACUUAAGCAUAUCAAUAAGCGGAGGA